AUUGAACGCUGGCGGCAUGCCUUACACAUGCAAGUCGAACGGCAGCACGGGAGCAAUCCUGGUGGCGAGUGGCGAACGGGUGAGUAAUAUAUCGGAACGUGCCCAGUCGUGGGGGAUAACGUAGCGAAAGCUACGCUAAUACCGCAUACGAUCUAUGGAUGAAAGCGGGGGAUCGCAAGACCUCGCGCGAUUGGAGCGGCCGAUAUCAGAUUAGGUAGUUGGUGGGGUAAAGGCUCACCAAGCCGACGAUCUGUAGCUGGUCUGAGAGGACGACCAGCCACACUGGGACUGAGACACGGCACAGACUCCUACGGGAGGCAGCAGUGGGGAAUUUUGGACAAUGGGCGCAAGCCUGAUCCAGCAAUGCCGCGUGCAGGAUGAAGGCCUUCGGGUUGUAAACUGCUUUUGUACGGAGCGAAAAGGCUUCCACUAAUACUGGGGGCUCAUGACGGUACCGUAAGAAUAAGCACCGGCUAACUACGUGCCAGCAGCCGCGGUAACAC
rnacentral:rRNA from 1 species